GACGAACCACACGAACGUUAUUCGGAAUCACUGGGCGUAAAGGGCGUGUAGGCGGGUAGGCAAGUCGGGCGUGAAAUCCCUGAGCUCAACUCAGGAACUGCACUCGAAACUGCUUAUCUUGAGUGCCGGAGAGGAAAGCGGGAUACCUGGUGUAGAGGUGAAAUUCGUAGAUAUCAGGUGGAACACCAGUGGCGAAGGCGGCUUUCUGGACGGUAACUGACGCUGAGACGCGAAAGCGUGGGGAGCAAACAGG
rnacentral:rRNA from 1 species